rnacentral:rRNA from 1 species
CGCAGGCGGUUUCUUAAGUUAGACGUGAAAGCUCCUGGCUUAACUGGGAGAGGUCGUUUAAAACUGAGGGACUUGAGGCAAUGAGGAGGGGUGCGGAAUUCCCGGUGUAGUGGUGGAAUGCGUAGAUAUCGGGAGGAACACCAGUGGCGAAAGCGGCAUCCUGGCAUUGACCUGACGCUGAAGUGCGAAAGCGUGGGGAGCGAACG